UUUUUUUUCAUCCAAAAUUAAUUAGAGUUCAAAAGAGCCAAAUUAAUGCUUAAAUUCCUGAGGAAUGUUGUUUACAUAAGUGAUAUGAUGCGGUUGGACACGAACUUUACGCGCCAAAUUAUCCGCUUUGACAUUUGCACUACGAGAAAUUAAAGAUAAAAAAAAACUUGAAAAUUCUUCCUUGUCACUCUGCAAUUCCUCCAAAUACACUGAGAAGGCCGGCCAUUCGGUUUGGGAAGACACCAUCUUCACCAGAUCCGAACAGUCUGUGAGAAACACAACAUCUUGAUUGUCGGCGCCAAUCAUGCACUUCAUCGCCCAUAGAAGAGCUUCCACUUCGGCAUGUAGUGGGGAUAGACUUCGUCUAAGGUUUGCUGCUCCCAUUGUUGACGUCUCUCCAAAUUCCUAAUAAUAAUGAUUUUAAAAGACUUUUAAUAUUCAUUUUUGUCACUU
rnacentral:sRNA from 1 species